rnacentral:tRNA from 1 species
AGUUAAGUAGCUUAAGGAAGCAUAUGUUUUGAAAGCAUAAGAAAGGAGUUUAAUUCUUCUAUUAACUU